GGGGAAUCUUCCGCAAUGGACGAAAGUCUGACGGAGCAACGCCGCGUGAGUGAAGAAGGCCUUCGGGUUGUAAAGCUCUGUUAUUCGGGAAGAACGAUUCGUUUGUAAAUAAUGAACGGAAGUGACGGUACCGAAAGAGAAAGCCACGGCUAACUACGUGCCAGCAGCCGCGGUAAUACGUAGGUGGCAAGCGUUGUCCGGAAUUAUUGGGCGUAAAGAGCGCGCAGGCGGUAUGAUAAGUCUGUCUUAGAAGUGCGGGGCUUAACCCCGUGAGGGGACAGAGACUGUCAUACUAGAGUCUCGGAGAGGAAAGCGGAAUUCCUAGUGUAGCGGUGAAAUGCGUAGAGAUUAGGAAGAACACCGGUGGCGAAGGCGGCUUUCUGGACGAGCACUGACGCUGAGGCGCGAAAGCGUGGGGAGCGAACAGGAUUAGAUACCCUGGUAGUCCACGCCGUAAACGAUGGGUACUAGGUGUAGGAGGUAUCGACCCCUUCUGUGCCGGAGUUAACGCAAUAAGUACCCCGCCUGGGGAGUACGGUCGCAAGAUUA
rnacentral:rRNA from 1 species